AUUGAAUUGAAAUGGUAAUUAUUUCACACAGGACACGUAAAAAUACAAAUUUUUAUUUAUUUUUUGAACAUAAGAAAACAAUAAGAAACCCUAAGUACAGGGGUUAUAUAAAUAUAAGAGGAAGAAGCUUUAGGGUUAGUGGGAGGGAGGAAAUUGAAGGGAAAGAAUGGAGGCGUUUAGGUCAGGAGAGAAAGGGAGAGAUACUAGAAGCAGCAACUGUAUGUAUUUAUAUAUAUAUAUGAUUCAUGUGGACAAGAAAAUCAUCUGAGAGGGGAUCAUGAUGUCCCUCUUUAUUUCAUUUAUAGUUUUCAAUCUGAAAAAACAUCAUUAUAUAUAUAAAUCUUGCUGCUCGUAUCCUCAUCUUCUUUCUUUCUCAGAUUUACUCUUCAUCUCUUUCCCUUUGGGACCUCGUGAUGCUCUCCCUAUCUUUCUGAAGGGGACGGACGGAGAAAGGUUUUGAUUAGAAGGGGCCAAAAUCUAAAAUCUUAUUUGGGUGGGCCGAUUUCUUAGUAUUUUUAAAAUAUGAGGACUAUUUUAAGAAAACAACAAAGCAAUUACAAUGUCUCAAGGCACCACACUGAAUAUUGUUUGGAACACACCCAAAUUUUUAUAGUAUGUUUUAGAGCUCACAUUAAUAGGGAUAGUUUGUUUUGAUUAAUUUGAAAAUAAUGUAAUAUAUUUGUAUAUUAAAAAUAUUUUGUUUAAAUUUAA